UACGGGGGGGGCAAGCGUUGUUCGGAAUUACUGGGCGUAAAGGGCUUGUAGGUGGCCAACUAAGUCAGACGUGAAAUCCCCAGGCUUAACCUGGGAACUGCAUUCGAUACUGGACGGCUAGAGUAUGAGAGAGGGUGGUAGAAUUCCACGUGUAGCGGUGAAAUGCGUAGAUAUGUGGAGGAAUACCGGUGGCGAAGGCGGCCUCCUGGUUCAAUACUGACGCUGAGGUGCGAAAGCGUGGGGAGCAAACAGG
rnacentral:rRNA from 1 species